AUGGCCCAAAAGAUGGCUGGUAUGAUGGAGGUAGCAUUAUUGUUGCUAUUUUUCUUGUUGUUGUUGUCUCAGCUGUGAGCAACUUUAAGCAAGCCAGGCAAUUUGUAAAGCUUUCUGAUGAAACUUGCAACAUAAAGGUGCAAGUGGUGAGAGAUGGCAGGCACCAGAAUAUAUCUAUUUUUGAUGUUGUGGUGGGUGAUGUUGUGUCUCUAAAGAUUGGGGAUCAAAUACCAGCUGAUGGGUUGUUCUUGGAUGGUUAUUCUUUGAAGAUUGAUGAAUCUAGCAUGACUGGUGAAAGCGAUCACGUCGAGGUAAAUGAUAGCAGAAAUCCAUUUCUGCUUUGUGGAACAAAAGUGACUGAUGGCUUCGGAUCCAUGCUUGUUACAUCUGUGGGCAUGAAUACAGCCUGGGGUGAGAUGAUGAGUUCUAUAAGCCAGAAUUUAGAUGAGGAGACCCCUUUGCAAGCGCGCCUCAACAAACUGACAUCUUACAUUGGCAAAGCUGGACUGGCAGUGGCUUUACUCGUUCUUGCUGUUAUGACAAUUCGUUACUUCACAGGAAACACCACAGAUGAAUAUGGACAUAGAGAAUAUAAUGGAAGCAAGACAAAGGUCAACAAUGUGCUGAAUUCAGUUGUGGAGAUUAUUGCAGCGGCGGUGACUAUUGUGGUGGUAGCAAUUCCCGAAGGUCUGCCUCUGGCUGUAACUCUAACUCUUGCUUACUCCAUGAAGAGAAUGAUGAAUGAUAAUGCACUGGUGCGUCAACUCUCUGCAUGUGAAACAAUGGGUUCAGCCACAAUGAUCUGCACUGACAAAACAGGCACUCUCACUUUGAAUCAGAUGAAAGUUGUAGAGUUUUGGCUUGGAAAAGACCUAAUUGAGGAUGAUAUUUCAAUGGAAAUGGAACCGAAGGUCUCUCUAUUACUAGAAGAAGGGGUUGCUUUAAAUACAACAGCCAUCAUUGACAAAUCACAAUCUACUUCUAUACCUGAGAUUUCUGGUAGUCCAACUGAGAAGGCGAUAUUAUCUUGGGCUGCCCUAGAUUUGGGAAUGAAUAUCAAUGAAACAAAGAGAAAGUGUGAGAUAAUAAAUGUAGAAACCUUCAAUUCCGAGAGAAAAAGAAGUGGGGUAAUGAUGAGGAAAAACAAUGAGAAAGCAAUUCACACACACUGGAAGGGAGCUGCUGAGAUGAUAGUAGCAAUGUGUUCAACCUAUUACGUUAGAAGUGGAGAACUAGUAGACAUGAAUGAGGAAGAAAGAAAGCAAUUUAAGGAUAUAAUACAUAGUAUGGGCGCCAAAAGCCUGCGAUGCAUUGCCUUUGCGCACAGAAAGGUUGCCGAACAAAACGGGCAAGUCUCUAGAAUGCUUGAUGAAACUGAAUGUACCUUACUGGGGCUUGUGGGAUUGAAGGACCCAUGUAGACCAGGGGUUAGAGCAGCUGUAGAAUCAUGUAAGAAAGCAGAAGUUAAUGUUAAAAUGAUCACUGGUGACAAUCCUGACACCGCAAGAGCUAUAGCUAUUGAAUGUGGAAUUCUCAAUCCGGCAGAGGAUGUGGAUUACAAAGCAGUAGUAGAAGGUGUUGAAUUCAGGAACUACUCAUCUGAAGAGAGAAUGGCAAGAAUUGAUGAUAUCCGAGUAAUGGCAAGAUCAUCUCCUUUUGACAAGCUUCUCAUGGUACAGUGCCUGAAGGAGAAAGGUCAUGUUGUAGCAGUUACUGGCGAUGGCACAAAUGAUGCCCCGGCACUUAGGGAAGCAGACAUUGGGCUUUCCAUGGGAAUUCAAGGAACAGAGGUGGCAAAAGAAAGCUCAGACAUUAUCAUCUUGGAUGAUAAUUUUACCUCUGUGGUGACAGUUUUGAAGUGGGGAAGGUGUGUCUACAACAACAUUCAGAAGUUCAUUCAGUUUCAGCUUACAGUCAAUAUUGCUGCCCUUGCCAUCAACUUUGUUGCAGCUAUUUCCUCUGGUAAAGUCCCCCUGACUGCAGUUCAGCUACUGUGGGUGAACCUCAUUAUGGACACCAUGGGAGCCCUAGCAUUGGCCACUGAGCAGCCCACCAAUGACCUUAUGACAAAGCCACCUGCAGGUAGAUCUGAGCCACUUAUAACCAAUAUCAUGUGGAGGAAUCUUAUCCCUCAGGCUAUGUAUCAGGUAGCCAUCUUACUGAUUCUACAAUUUGAAGGUAAAACCAUCUUUGGUGUGAAUGAGAGUGUCAAUAAUACAAUCAUCUUCAACACCUUUGUCCUCUGUCAAGUAUUUAAUGAAUUCAAUGCGAGGAAGCUGGAGAAGAGGAACUUAUUUGAAGGGAUACAUAGGAACAAGUUAUUCCUAGUGAUAAUUGGAAUUACCAUAGUUCUUCAAGUGGUCAUGGUGGAGCUUCUGAAGCGGUUCGCCAGUACCGAGAGGCUGAACUGGGGCCAAUGGGGAGCUUGCAUUGGCAUUGCAGCUGUAUCUUGGCCAAUUGGUUGUGUUGUGAAGUGCAUUCCAGUGUACAGAAAGCAGUGUCCAAGCAAAGAGCUUCUGGAUCCUGAAAAUGCAGUCACUGAUCAGUAAUAAUAAAUAGACAUAUUUAGCCUUCUCAAUGAUCAGGCAAAGAUUAAUUUCUUUUUUUUUUCCUAAAUGCAUGCAGCAGACUAGCAGUUGAUACUGUUUGCAGUUUCUUCUAGGGAAAAUCCAGAUCCAAAUAUUGUAAUGUUCUACUUAAUGAAAGCAAAACUUAUCAUGUUUUUAGUCUUUCUAUGCUUCUUUUGCUUUCAUCUUUUGCUGCUUCGGGUUCCUAUAUAAUGUGACACAUAAAUAUGACCGCAUAUAAAAAUUCCAACUCCAGGAAAUCACACAUAAACUAGACAAUUUUCCAAUGGAAACUAUGUUGUUUGGAAGAAAAAUUAACAUAAUGUUGUGCACAGUCCAAAAGGUGGUUUAUAAAUGUUUUUUCAAUGGCCAAAGCCAUAGUUUGGUUCAGGUUUGAAGAGUUAAUACAGCCAUGAGACUUAUUGCAGCUAUUUAUAGUGGCUCAACUUGUUUCUUCUGACAAUCACUUAAAAAGCAGAUCUACAGAAACUAGAGAAGCAGUGCUCUGUCCAAGAUCCUGAGGAAGGUGGUUUGUCUGUCUUCUUUUGAUGGCCAAAUGCAUAGUUUUAUUCAGGUUAGAAGAGUAUAUAUAGCCAUAGGACUUAUUUUGUUUCUUCUAAAAUCACUCCAAAAAGCCACUUAAGAUACAAUAAAGCAUGAAGAUCCCAAAGAAAAAUCUUAUGAUGGAUCUAGACAGAACUAUUUUAUUCCCUUUACGUGGCUUAAAAGCAUAGUAAAAAUCAAGGACUUCAAAGUUUUUGAAGUUACUUUAAAACAUGCCAAUACUUUAUUAACAAGUACAUAAUGAAAUAAGCUACACAAUUUUAAAGUAAAAUAGGUCAACUUGCAGCUUCAACCUUAUUAUUCCAUGUUCUAAAGUUUACCUCAUUCAAGCUGUAGACUGUAGUCGUCAAGAAAAUAAACAAACUAAAAUCCUCAUCAUGCACACUCCUAGAAAAUUCUGACUGCACUAGAAUGGCUAGGUUAACUAAAUAGUUAGAAUGACUGCAUUAACCACAACCUUUUCAUAUAGGUCGAAAGUGAGGUCAGGCAUAGGGAUAGACCCUCCUACUGUAGGAAUUUGGAUGACACUAAUGUAGAAGAAUUGCCUAGAUACACCGACAUACGUAAAGGGUGAUAAGAAUGAUAGAAGUGCAAUUAAGCGCUUACUGACUCAGUUUAUUAUUUGCAGUGACCAAUAGGAAAUUAUACUGUAGUUCAAGUAUUAAAACUGAAAUUGUGAUAUAUUUGAAUUUGAUAAUACAUGAGCAUGUUAAAGGUCAUCACUAGUUAUUGGUUAGUAAGUCAUCAAGGUGACAUGAUGAGUCAUCAAAGAUGAUAAGUUGUUCCACUCAACUUGGUGGAGAAUUGUCUUAAUUGUGGAUCAAUGCAAAAGUAUGUGGAUGCAAGAAAAAGAAUGCAGAUUAUUUUGUUAUGUGGCUGUAAUUUCAUCUAAGCAUCUAAAAACAGGGCGUCUAAAGCAUACAAGAGUAAAUGUGAGAGCUCAAAUAUAAGAUUUCAAAAUAAGGGAGAGAACUAUGGCUGGAGUGCGAAAAGAAGUUUGCGUGUGGUAUGCAAAUGAGUUGAAAUGAAUGAGUGUUAAUAGUGUAAAAAAGUGAGUUGCAACAGUAUACUUAGUUGAAAAGUAAAAAACUUUAAAUGUUGCUUGUCUGAUGUUCCACAUACAAUACAACUCUCUUUGAUCGACUAGAUUCAUAAAUUGAGGUUAGAUUAAUGAAAGUAGUUAAGAACUUCAUUUCUGAGUAGAUAUGAACCAUAAAGAAUCUAUUAAAAUGUGUCGUUGAAAUCCAACUCAAAUGAAUUUUCAAUCACAUUAGUGAAUGUAAUCAUCACUAUGAAACCAAAUAAUUAAACUAGAAACAUAUCUAGAUCCCUCAAUUGAGAUCAUUCCAUCCAAACAUAGCAUAAUAUAUAAAAUAGACAUGGACCUUAAUAUUCUUUAAGAGUACAACAGAGCAGGGAUUUGGGUGUAUAUAUUAUGUUGUGUGUGUGUGUGCAUGCGUUCAUAUGCACACGUGAAUAUGUGGAUAAAACACUAGUUCAUAUGAUUACCCUAUCUCGACGCUUUUUAAUUAAUAUGGUAGGAAACAAGUAGGCCACACCCACAUGUGCACACCUAUUAUAUAUCUGUUAAAGGAAAUGAUACAAUGUCAACAGAAAGUGAAAUAGGUUGUCUUUUUUCUCUCAUCUCUCAUGUGUAUCCUUGACGACAUACGUGGACAUGUGGACACNNNNNNNNNNNNNNNNNNNNNNNNNNNNNNNNNNNNNNNNNNNNNNNNNNNNNNNNNNNNNNNNNNNNNNNNNNNNNNNNNNNNNNNNNNNNNNNNNNNNNNNNNNNNNNNNNNNNNNNNNNNNNNNNNNNNNNNNNNNNNNNNNNNNNNNNNNNNNNNNNNNNNNNNNNNNNNNNNNNNNNNNNNNNNNNNNNNNNNNNNNNNNNNNNNNNNNNNNNNNNNNNNNNNNNNNNNNNNNNNNNNNNNNNNNNNNNNNNNNNNNNNNNNNNNNNNNNNNNNNNNNNNNNNNNNNNNNNNNNNNNNNNNNNNNNNNNNNNNNNNNNCCCCUCAGCAUAAUUCCUAGGCAAUUUUUUCACAUAAAAUAAUGUCCAGCCUUGAAAUUACUCUUGUGCCUCUUCAUGCUUGAUCUUAAUAAUCAGGAUGGUACUUAUGUAAGUUGGUUCCAGAGGAAAUGAUCUUAAACUAUUUUUGUUUCUUUAUUAUUAUGGAUAUAGAAAUAAAACUGUACUAUUUUGUUUUGUAUCAUAUGGAUGAAUGAAUAAAACAGCACUGGUUGGGGAUAGCAUUCAAAACACAUUUAUGGCAAAGAGUUGCCAAUCACAAAGUUUAGAUCGAGUGAUAGGUUGCGUUCAUUCCUUAGUCUAUUACCCCAGAUUCAGUUCUCAUAGCCAGCACACAAGAGGUAAUUAUUGAAUACACAGGCUGAACAUAGGGGUGUAUCCUUGGACUCGCUGGAGGAGGUGAAUUAGUUGAUGUUCUCAUAAAGCCUGAACACCACCUGAUCUUAGGCCGCCGUCAUUUUAAGGGAAUUAAAAAAAAAAAAAAAAACAUGUAUGUGUUGAUAUUUAUACAUUAAUCUAUAUCCUUGGUAUUCCAAAUGUUUCCGUUCACAUUUCCCUUUUUUCUAUUUUUUACUGUCUCUUAGGUGUUCCAUAAACAUUUCUUUACUGUCUUCUAGGAAGAACUCCUCAAUUUUAAUCACCACUGAAUCAUUGUCUACUAAUUAUUUAACUCAAGAAGCCAUAAACAAGUUCUUAUAGGACAAUAUUGGAUAUGAUAGAUGAGUCCUCUCCAGCACAAAACUCUGGGCAAGCAAAUUAAAAAUUAAAUUGAAAGCAAGCUACUAAUUAAAAUGAAGUCUCGUGUUUCUCUGAUAAGCAGAGAAUAAAAUCCGCUCAGAAGCUACAGCCUCUGAAACGGUCACAAAUACCUUGACUAAACGAGUCAAAUGGAGAGAACAAAAGUGAUGAGUUAAAAAAACCAGACAUGAAGAGAAAGGGAAAAGGCUUUACCUUUAGUGUACACAGCUGCCAAUUUGAAUGACCCACAUCCAUAAAUUGAAAAAAUUGGAGCCUCACAAAUUCUCAAACGGUAUAAAGCGGGGACCCAGUUGCCACUGCUGAUGAUAAAAAGCCCCUGGUGCAAUAUGUACUUGUCUAGGGUUUCGCUUCAGAAUUGUGACAACUGAAACUGACAAUGGUUUCUUCUACUGUUCUUCAGUUGCGUGUUCAAAAAAUAAAAUAAAAAUAAAACCCAUAAUUCAGCCAUUUUUGUUGAAGUUUUUCAUAAGUUGAGUAAUUAGCUGAAGAAAUUGGAGCCUCCUUUGAUGGCUUAGGUUCAAUUAGAAAAAAUACCGGUUUCCUCCUCACGGGUUCAUUAGAAAAAUGAACCAGUUGGCGCGAGGGAUGUUACGUUGUUAUUGCGUGACCCACUUCGCACGGAGGGAUUGCAUGUCA
rnacentral:lncRNA from 1 species